rnacentral:rRNA from 1 species
UACGGGGGGGGCAAGCGUUGUUCGGAAUUACUGGGCGUAAAGGGCGCGUAGGCGGUCUGCUAAGUUGGAUGUGAAAACUCUGGGCUUAACCCAGAGCCUGCAUUCAAAACUGACAGGCUAGAGUUCUGGAGGGGGAAGCGGAAUUCCUGGUGUAGCGGUGAAAUGCGUAGAUAUCAGGAGGAACACCGGUGGCGAAGGCGGCUUCCUGGACAGAAACUGACGCUGAGGCGCGAAAGCGUGGGGAGCGAACAGG